rnacentral:rRNA from 1 species
AGAGUUUGAUCAUGGCUCAGAUUGAACGCUGGCGGCAGGCCUAACACAUGCAAGUCGAGCGCGAAAGCACUUCGGUGCGAGUAGAGCGGCGGACGGGUGAGUAACGCGUAGGAAUCUACCCAGUAGUGGGGGACAACUUGGGGAAACUCAAGCUAAUACCGCAUACGCCCUAUGGGGGAAAGCGGGGGAUCUUCGGACCUCGCGCUAUUGGAUGAGCCUGCGUAAGAUUAGCUAGUUGGUGAGGUAAAGGCUCACCAAGGCGACGAUCUUUAGCUGGUCUGAGAGGAUGAUCAGCCACACUGGGACUGAGACACGGCCCAGACUCCUACGGGAGGCAGCAGUGGGGAAUAUUGCGCAAUGGGGGAAACCCUGACGCAGCCAUGCCGCGUGUGUGAAGAAGGCCCUAGGGUUGUAAAGCACUUUCAAUUGGGAGGAAAAGCUGCAGGUUAAUAACCUGUAGCCCUGACGUUACCUUUAGAAGAAGCACCGGCUAACUCCGUGCCAGCAGCCGCGGUAAUACGGAGGGUGCGAGCGUUAAUCGGAAUUACUGGGCGUAAAGCGCGCGUAGGCGGUGAUUUAAGUCAGAUGUGAAAGCCCCGGGCUUAACCUGGGAACUGCAUUUGAUACUGGGUCACUAGAGUACGAGAGAGGGGGGUAGAAUUCCACGUGUAGCGGU